rnacentral:snoRNA from 1 species
CAGCAUAGAACAUCGAGUCAAUAAUAUUGAGAUGCAAGAGAAAAGUGUCCCUGCCCUUUCUGUCUGUCUGAUUGUGGCAGACAAGAUUGAAUGAGGGAAUACAAGG